rnacentral:lncRNA from 1 species
UUCCCUCCAAGAACUUACCACCUUGCUCUUGGGGAGACUCGAACUCACAACCUCUCGGUUGUAAGUGGGGGUUGUUUGACUUUUGACUCAGAGACGAUCCAAGAUUUGAAGUUUUAUGGGUUUUUUACAACAAUUUUAACUUAAUAUACAAUAAUAACUAGGGUUAACAGUGAUUAUGUAUUUAGUAAAUUUUUUAAUAAAAAUAUACGGGCUGUGCAAAAGCUAUUACAUUCUCGUGAACCAAUAAGUUGUGUUCUAGAUCUGUUCUAGUUAACCCAAUAUUAAGAAAACCAUAUGCAAAAAAAAUAUUCCAUGACUCAUGCAUGUUAGAGGCAUUAAUUAAGUAGUGGGCAGCACAGUUGAUGAAUGAUAUUUUAAUCCACUGUUGUUGGAUAAUAUUUUAGAUAUAAAUGUUGUUCCUUAGUUGUGGUUGACCAAUACACAGUUCAAUCCAAAAUUCCUUCACAAUCCAUAAGCUAGAGAUCUCUGCUUUAAUUAAGGUGCUUCUCUUAUUUUACAAUUUUCAUAUCAUUCUUGUAGGAGAACAAUUUAAAGGUAAAAGACCUUUAAAUGUAAGAAGGAAAGAGAUUUUGUUUAG